AACCCUAGACAGGGGAUCACUUGGCUCAUGGGUCGAUGAAGACCGCAGCAAACUGCGCGUCGCCAUGUGAACUGCAGGACACAUGAUCAUUGACAUGUUGAACGCAUAUUGCGCCUUAUACAUUUGGUUCUCUUUAUAAU
rnacentral:rRNA from 13 species